rnacentral:rRNA from 1 species
UACGUAGGGGGCAAGCGUUGUCCGGAUUUAUUGGGCGUAAAGCGCUCGCAGGUGGUCCGAUGCGUCGUGCGUGAAAGACCCCGGCUCAACUGGGGGGCGUCGUGCGAUACGGGCAGACUUGAGUACUGCAGGGGAGACUGGAAUUCCUGGUGUAGCGGUGGAAUGCGCAGAUAUCAGGAGGAACACCGGUGGCGAAGGCGGGUCUCUGGGCAGUAACUGACGCUGAGGAGCGAAAGCGUGGGGAGCGAACAGG